CAUAAUAUCUUCAAUGAGCUGAAUUUUUCAAGCCCAGAAUGGUUUCUGUAGCUCAAAGUUUGUGGGUGGAGAUAGGUGGUGAAGCAGACACAUAUUAACUGUGUGUACAAGCAGCUGAACUGCAAGGUGGACCUCAAAAAGCAACAAGUACAAGAAUGUGUGUGCGUGUGUGUGUGUGUCUCGUUAAUGACUGCAUCCUAAACAGCUGUGAGAUCAAAGGCAAAUCACUAACCUACUGUUUGACUGAGAGGUGCUGAACUGCAGUGAAUUUCAGCCUGUGAACUUCUUCACAUAGCGUGAUUUCCUUAAGUCCCAGAAUGAAAAUAAGAACAUCGUACGAAUCCUCCGUCCUUCAUGAACACAAUGAUGUGUUUUUCAUGUCUGUACUUCGAAAAAUGUGGCCACAACAGCGAGUUAAAAAAGUCUGAGCCUGAGUGGGGAUAAGGAUUUUCUUGGAGAAGAAAUACAUUAGGUCUAAUGGGGAGAGAUUUCCACCUAUUUGGACAGUUGGUCACCUGCUGGCCAAGGGGUAGGAUUUAAUGAUUUGAAACCUCUUUUGUGAGAAGCAGGACACAUAUACCUCCAUUUUGAUGUAUUAUUUGUGUCAGUGGAGUGAGAUUUGUGGGCGUGGGAGCGAUAUAUUCGAGCGAGGUUCUGUCGAUCAGAGACGAGGUCUGCACUCUAGCUGAUGACAUCAUCACUCUAAACUCUCCAAUACACACCCAUUAUAAAGCUUGAAAUUUGCUGAAAACCACAAGUUGCUUAAAGCUAAAUUGUGGAAAAACUGUAAGAGAUAUCAAAAAACUGAGUACAACUGUAAUAGUCGACAAGUGAAUGAACAUUUUAAAGCAAAAAUGAGGUCUCUAGGUGAAAGUAUGCUGAAGUUAUAAGGUCUAGAAGGUGGAAGAAUAAAAGGAAGGAGUGGAAGAUUUCCCCAUUGACUUCAAUGUUAAAAUUUUUGCACAAAAAGUUAAAAAAAACAAAAAGUAUAAAAGGUAGAAAGGUAAAAAAUACAAGCACACAUGUCCUGAAGGAGUGGAAUAGUUAAAAGUUUGAACGGUUGAAAUCGGACAAAGUUUGAAGGAGGAGAAGCGGUCCAAAGAAACGUAUGGGGAGAGUGUUAAGUAUAAUACUAGAAAAAUUGCAUUUCCUUGCAGAAAAUGCGUGGAAAUGCUGAGUGCUGAAAGCUGAAAAAGCAAUGCUAAACUGCUAAUAAAACAUAGAGAAAUGUAUAAAUGUUAAAGCUGUUGAAGGGGUGUAAAAGAAAUGUAAGUUGGAUAAUUGAUUAAUUGGUUGAAGGACAAAUAGUAUGAAUAUGCUCUAUAAAAUGAAAUUUUAUUCAUGCUGAAAGAGGCUAGAAAAAUGUCUAAAAUUGCACAAAGUUUGAAUGAAGAAGGAAAUUGCCUUAAAAGGCAGGAAGGUGAGAAGUGGCAUAAGUUUAAUUUUUUAUGUAUUAGAAAGGUUUGAAUCAGUUUGAAUCAGUUCAAAUUAGUUUGAAAAAUUAAAUGAUAAAUCAUCACUGAGUGACUUUAAAAUGUGAAAAAUUUAAAUGAAUAUAAAUCCUGAAUACACCCCAUAAUGUCCUCAUUGAGCUUAAAUUUUAAAGCCCUGAAUGGUUUCUGUAGGUCAAAGGUCAUGUGAGGAGAUAGGGGCUGAAGUUUUUUCAAGCGCUCUAGGAAAGGGUUUUAAGUGUCAUCCCCAGUGCUAUGUGUACUGAGCCUGGCUUCAUGUGUCUCAUAUGGCCAUUAGAAGCAGCUUUCCAGUCAGCUGUGUGUCUCCAGGUGCACAAGUUGGUUGCCAUGGGGACCUUGGAUGCAUAACUAUAGCAGGAGAAAGAAGGCUUGAAGCUAAGGAAACAGGACUCCAAGUAGGCCCUGACGCUCAUCCUCUGUAUCUAUUCCUGAUAAGGAGCUUGUGAGAACACAAGACUCUGCUGAACACAUUAAUACAAUUUAUUAUCACAAUCCUCAAAACACCCCAUAAUAUCUUCAAUGAGCUGAAUUUUUGAAGCCCAGAAUGGUUUCUGUAGCUCAAAGUUUGUGGGUGGAGAUAGGUGGUGAAGCAGACACAUAUUAACUGUGUGUACAAGCAGCUGAACUGCAAGGUGGACCUCAAAAAGCAACAAGUACAAGAAUGUGUGUGUGUGUGUGUGUGUGUGUGUCUCGUUAAUGACUGCAUCCUAAACAGCUGUGAGAUCAAAGGCAAAUCACUAACCUACUGUUUGACUGAGAGGUGCUGAACUGCAGUGAAUUUCAGCCUGUGAACUUCUUCACAUAGCGUGAUUUCCUUAAGUCCCAGAAUGAAAAUAAGAACAUCGUACGAAUCCUCCGUCCUUCAUGAACACAAUGAUGUCUUUUUCAUGUCUGUACUUCGAAAAAUGUGGCCACAACAGCGAGUUAAAAAAGUCUGAGCCUGAGUGGGGAUAAGGAUUUUCUUGGAGAAGAAAUACAUUAGGUCUAAUGGGGAGAGAUUUCCGCCUAUUUGGACAGUUGGUCACCUGCUGGCCAAGGGGUAGGAUUUAAUGAUUUGAAACCUCUUUUGUGAGAAGCAGGACACAUAUACCUCCAUUUUUAUGUAUUUUUUAUGGCUGUGGAGUGAGAUUUGUGGGCGUGGGAGCGAUAUAUUUGAGCGAGGUUCUGUCGAUCAGAGACGAGGUCUGCACUCUAGCUUUUCAAAUCAUCACUCUAGCCUCUCCAAUACACCCCUAUUAUAAAGCCUGAAAUUUGCUGAAAACCACAAGUUGCAUAAAGCUAAAUUGUGGAAAAACUGUAAAAGAUAGCACAAAGAGGUUAAUACAACAUCAAUAGUCGACAAGACAAUGAACAUUUUAAAGCAAAAAUGAGGUCUCUAGGUGAAAGUAUGCUGAAGUUAUAAGGUCUAGAAGGUGGACGAAUAACAGGAAGAAUUGAAAGAUUUCCCCAUUCAUUUCUAUGGGAAAAAAAGUUUGGCACAAAAAGUGAAAAAUAAUAAAAAGUAUAAAGGGUAGAAAAAAGAAAAGUAAUAGCCAUCAUGUCCUGAAGGAGUGGAAUCGUUUAAAGUUUGAACGGUUGAAAUCGGACAAAGUUUGAAGGAGGAGAAGCGGUCCAAAGAAACGUAUGGGGAGAGUGUUAAGUAUAAUACUAGAAAAAUUGCAUUUCCUUGCAGAAAAUGCGUGGAAAUGCUGAGUGCUGAAAGCUAACAAAGCAAUGCUAAACUGCUAAUAAAACAUGGAGAAAGGUAUAAAUGUUAAAGCUGUUGAAGGGGUGAACAGAAAUAUAAGUUGGAUAAUUGAUUAAUUGGUUGAAGGACAAAUACUAUGAAUAUGCUCUAUAAAAGGAAAUUUUAUUCAUGCUGAAAGAGGCUAGAAAAAUGUCUCAAAUUGCACAAAGUUUGAAUGAAGAAGGAAAUUGCCUUAAAAGGCAGGAAGGUGAGAAGUGGCAUAAGUUUAAAUUGUAGUACUAGAAGUAGCAUGAUAAGAAGUCAAGUCGUGAUACUAGUAGUCAUGUCAGCAGUAGAAGUAGAUUGAGAAUAAAAGAAGUAUAAGUCAAAGUAGUAAAGAAAGUAGAAAUAGGAGCAAUAGCAGUUGAAGUAGAGGGGAAAGUUCUAGUUUAAUUGACAUUAGGAGUAGUUGUCGUACUUGAGGUAGGAUUUUGUUUGAAUGAUGGAGUAAUGCAUAAAUAUUAAAACUAAUUUAAAACAGGGAAAUUUUAAAUUAUCAAAAGUCCUCAAGUAUCAGAAAGUUUUGAAGUAUUAGAAAGGUUUGAAUCAGUUUGAAUGAGUUUAAAUUAGUUUGAAAAAUUAAAUGAUAAAUCAUCACUGACUGACUUUUAAAAUGUGAAAAAUUUAAAUGAAUAACAAUCCUAAAUACACCCAAUAAUGUCCUCAAUGAGCUUAAAUUUCAAAGCCCUGAAUGGUUUCUGUAGGUCAAAGGUCAUGUGAGGAGAUAGGGGCUGAAGUUUUUUCCAACGCUCUAGGAAAGGGUUUUAAGUGUCAUCCCAAUUGCUAUGUGUACUGAGCCUGGCUUCAUGUGUCUCAUAUGGCCACUAGAAGCAGCUUUCCAGUCAGCUGUGUGUCUCCAGGUGCACAAAUUGGUUGCCAUGGGGACCUUGGAUGCAUAACUAUAGCAGGAGAAAGAAGGCUUGAAGCUAAGGAAACAGGACUCCAAGUAGGCCCUGACGCUCACCCUCUGUAUAUAUUCAUAAGGAGCUUGUGAGAACACAAGACUCUGCUGAACACAUUAAUACAAUUUAUUAUCACAAUCCUCAAAACACCCCAUAUUAUCUUCAAUGAGCUGAAUUUUUGAAGCCCAGAAUGGUUUCUGUAGCUCAAAGUUUGUGGGUGGAGAUAGGUGGUGAAGCAGACACAUAUUAACUGUGUGUACAAGCAGCUGAACUGCAAGGUGGACCUCAAAAAGCAACAAGUACAAGAAGGUGUGUGUGCGUGUGUGUGUGUGUGUGUCUCGUUAAUGACUGCAUCCUAAACAGCUGUGAGAUCAAAGGCAAAUCACUAACCUACUGUUUGACUGAGAGGUGCUGAACUGCAGUGAAUUUCAGCCUGUGAACUUCUUCACAUAGCGUGAUUUCCUUAAGUCCCAG
rnacentral:lncRNA from 1 species